GAUGAACGCUGGCGGCGUGCUUAACACAUGCAAGUCGAACGGAAAGGCCCGGCUUUUGUGGGGCUCUCGAUUGGCGAACGGGUGAGUAACACGUGUGUAUCCUGCCCUUGAAUUUGGGAUAACUUCAGGAAACUGGGGCUAAUACCGGAUAUGAUAUCUUGCAGCAUGUUGGGGGUUGGAAAGUUUCGGCUGUUGGGGAUGGACUCGCGGCUUAUCAGCUUGUUGGUGGGGUAGUGGCUUACCAAGGCUUUGACGGGUAGCCGGCCUGAGAGGGUGACCGGCCACAUUGGGACUGAGAUACGGACCAGACUCCUACGGGAGGCAGCAGUGGGGAAUAUUGCACAAUGGGCGGAAGCCUGAUGCAGCAACGCCGCGUGCGGGAUGACGGCCUUCGGGUUGUAAACCGCUUUCGACUGUGACGAAGCGUGAGUGACGGUAAUGGGUAAAGAAGCACCGGCUAACUACGUG
rnacentral:rRNA from 1 species